AUUGAACGCUGGCGGCAUGCCUUACACAUGCAAGUCGAACGGCAGCACGGGUGCUUGCACCUGGUGGCGAGUGGCGAACGGGUGAGUAAUACAUCGGAACAUGUCCUGUAGUGGGGGAUAGCCCGGCGAAAGCCGGAUUAAUACCGCAUACGAUCUACGGAUGACAGGGGGGGACCUUCGGGCCUCGCGCUGUAGGGUUGGCCGAUGGGUGAUUAGCUAGUUGGUGGGGUAAAGGCCUACCAAGGCGACGAUCAGUAGCUGGUCUGAGAGGACGAGCAGCCACACUGGGACUGAGACACGGCCCAGACUCCUACGGGAGGCAGCAGUGGGGAAUUUUGGACAAUGGGCGAAAGCCUGAUCCAGCAAUGCCGCGUGUGUGAAGAAGGCCUUCGGGUUGUAAAGCACUUUUGUCCGGAAAGAAAUCCUUGGCCCUAAUACGGUCGGGGGAUGACGGUAACGGAAGAAUAAGCACCGGCUAACUACGUG
rnacentral:rRNA from 1 species